rnacentral:rRNA from 1 species
AUUGAACGCUGGCGGCAUGCCUAACACAUGCAAGUCGAACGAGUGGCGGACGGGUGAGUAAUGUCUGGGAAACUGCCUGAUGGAGGGGGUUAACUACUGGAAACGGUAGCUAAUCCCGCAUACCAUCAGAUGUGCCCAGAUGGGACUGGCUAGUUGGUUGGGUAACGGCUCACCAAGGCGACGCUCCCUAGCUGGUCUGAGAGGAUGACCAGCCACACUGGAACUGAGACACGGUCCAGACCCCUACGGGAGGAAGCAGUGGGGAAUAUUGCACAAGGGGCGCAAGCCUGAUGCAGCCAUGCCGCGUGUAUGAAGAAGGCCUUCGGGUUGUAAAGUACUUUCAGCGGGGAGGCGUUACCCGCAGAAGAAGCACCGGCUAACUCCGUGCCAGCAGCCGCGGUAAUAC